AUGUAUUAGUUUAAACGACUUGAUCGUGAAACCGCGAACGGCUCAUUAUAACAGCUAUAAUUUACUCGAUCUUGACCAUCCUACACGGAUAACUGAGGUAAUUCUUGAGCUAAUACGUGCACCAGAGCUGUUCCCUAGCGGGAGCAGUGCAUUUAUUAGAGCAAAAACCAAGCGGCUUCGGCCGUUCUUUGCUGACUCAGAAUAACUAAGCUGAUCGCAUGGGCUUGUCCCGGCGACGUGUCUUUCAAGUGUCUGCCUUAUCAACUUUCGAUGGUAGCGUAUGUGACUACCAUGGUGGUGACGGGUAACGGAGGAUAAGGGUUCGACUCCGGAGAAGGGGCCUGAGAAAUGGCCACUACGUCUAAGGAUGGCAGCAGGCGCGCAAAUUACCCACUCUCGGUUCGAGGAGGUAGUGACGAGAAAUAACGAGGCUGUUCUCUACGAGGCCAGCCAUCGGAAUGGGUACAACUCAAACCCUUUAACGAGUAUCAAUGAGAGGGCAAGUCUGGUGCCAGCAGCCGCGGUAAUUCCAGCUCUCAAAAUGCAUAGAAUUAUUGCUGCGGUUAAAAAGCUCGUAGUUGGAUCUGUGCCCGCGGCGUGGUCUGCAUGAAAGUGUAGUACUGCGUUCGUGGGCUUUCUGCCGGUCUUCGUGCUGACGUCUUCACCGACGGCGGUGCGUGGCUGGCGAUUUUACUUUGAGCAAAUCAGAGUGCUCAGCACAGGCGUCUCGCCUGAAUGAUCGUGCAUGGAAUAAUGGAAAAGGAUUUCGGUCCUCUUUUAUUGGUUUUUUGGACUGAGAUAAUGAUUAACAGGGACAAACGGGGGCAUUCGUAUUCCCACGCUAGAGGUGAAAUUCUUGGACCGUGGGAGGACGGACUACAGCGAAAGCAUUUGCCAAGCAUGUCCUCAUUAAUCAAGAACGAAAGUCAGAGGUUCGAAGGCGAUCAGAUACCGCCCUAGUUCUGACCGUAAACGAUGCCAACUAGCGAUCCGCCGGUGGCCCUGAGGCCCUGGUGGGGAGCUUCCCGGAAACGAAAGUCUUCCGGUUCCGGGGGAAGUAUGGUUGCAAAGCUGAAACUUAAAGGAAUUGACGGAAGGGCACCACCAGGAGUGGAGCCUGCGGCUUAAUUUGACUCAACACGGGAAAACUCACCCGGCCCGGACACCGUAAGGAUUGACAGAUUGAUAGCUUUUUCAUGAUUCGGUGGUUGGUGGUGCAUGGCCGUUCUUAGUUCGUGGAGCGAUUUGUCUGGUUUAUUCCGAUAACGAGCGAGACUCUAGCCUGCUAACUAGUGCACGCAUUGCUUCUGUGCACUGCACUUCUUAGAGGGAUUCGCGGUGUUUAGCCGCACGAAAUUGAGCAAUAACAGGUCUGUGAUGCCCUUAGAUGUCCGGGGCUGCACGCGCGCUACACUGGCAAAGGCAGCGUGCUUGUCCAUUCCCGAGAGGGAUUGGUAAACCGGUGAAAAUUUGCCGUGAUUGGGAUCGGAAAUUGCAAUUAUUUUCCGUGAACGAGGAAUUCCAAGUAAGUGCGAGUCAUCAGCUCGCGUUGAUUACGUCCCUGCCCUUUGUACACACCGCCCGACGCUGCCCGGGACUGAGCCAUUUCGAGAAACUCGGGGAUCGCUGGUCGAAGGCCUUUCGGGGCCGACUUCUGGUGAGAACCGAUUUAAUCGCAGUGGCUUGAACCGGGC
rnacentral:rRNA from 1 species